ACACUUGUGGUUCAGUGGCAGCGCGCUAGCCUGCUGAGCAGACGAUCUGGGUUCGAUUCCCGGUAUAUGCG